GCGGAGGCAUUGAUGUGACGCCUUCAGUUGUGGACGAUGCUUCUCUUAGGAUUUGUUCACGACGAUGCUUUGGCAGCGUAAGGAGGUGUGUCGCGUCGGGUCAGUGGGUGGUGUCGCGAUUUUGAGCAGGGCUUUGAGUUGGCGAGGGAGGCUAAUCCAUGGGCUGUCACUGAAUAGGGCUUCGCGAGCCAAGCUAUCGGAGGUGCUAAUACACCUAGGGUUGUCGCUGCCAUAGAGGUAAGUUAUUACUUCAAAUUAUGUAGGUUUUGGUGGCUGCCCUCUUUGUGAUGCAUGUGUGAGUUAACUUUGUAUGUAUCUACUGGAAUUAUGAUAGCUCUGGUAUAAAUGGGAAAAGAACAUGUUAGCACUUCGGUUCUAUUAUGCUCUGGUUGAACAAGGUAGCUUUAUACCUAGGUAUGUUUGAACUUGAACUUUGAUGAUUGGAUGGGAUUUAUAGUUCAUUAAAUUUGUUUGAUGGUAGGAACACUAUAUCAUAUGUAAUUCAUUAAUAAAACAUUGUGCCUGG
rnacentral:lncRNA from 1 species